CCUACGGGAGGCAGCAGUGAGGAAUAUUGGUCAAUGGGAGCGAGCCUGAACCAGCCAAGUAGCGUGAGGGAUGACUGCCCUACGGGUUGUAAACUUCUUUUAUAGAGGAAUAAAGUGAGGCACGUGUGCCGUUUUGUGUGUACUUUAUGAAUAAGGAUCGGCUAACUCCGUGCCAGCAGCCGCGGUAAUACGGAGGAUCCGAGCGUUAUCCGGAUUUAUUGGGUUUAAAGGGAGCGUAGAUGGGUUGUUAAGUCAGUUGUGAAAGUUUGCGGCUCAACCGUAAAAGUGCAAUUGAUACUGGCAGUCUUGAGUAGAGUUGAGGUACGCGGAAUGCGCGGUGUAGCGGUGAAAUGCAUAGAUAUCACGAAGAACUCCGAUUGCGAAGGCAGCUUACUAACCUGCCACUGACAUUGAUGCUCGAAAGUGUGGGUAUCAAACAGGAUUAGAUACCCGUGUAGUC
rnacentral:rRNA from 1 species